GACGAACGCUGGCGGCGUGCUUAACACAUGCAAGUCGAACGGAAAGGCCCUGCUUUUGUGGGGUGCUCGAGUGGCGAACGGGUGAGUAACACGUGAGUAACCUGCCCUUGACUUUGGGAUAACUUCAGGAAACUGGGGCUAAUACCGGAUAUGAGCUCCUGCUGCAUGGUGGGGGUUGGAAAGUUUCGGCGGUUGGGGAUGGACUCGCGGCUUAUCAGCUUGUUGGUGGGGUAGUGGCUUACCAAGGCUUUGACGGGUAGCCGGCCUGAGAGGGUGACCGGCCACAUGGGGACUGAGAUACGGCCCAGACUCCUACGGGAGGCAGCAGUGGGGAAUAUUGCACAAUGGGCGGAAGCCUGAUGCAGCAACGCCGCGUGCGGGAUGACGGCCUUCGGGUUGUAAACCGCUUUCGCCUGUGACGAAGCGUGAGUGACGGUAAUGGGUAAAGAAGCACCGGCUAACUACGUG
rnacentral:rRNA from 1 species